GCGGAUAAAAAUAGCGGCAGUAAAAAGUGUUAAGAGGUAUAAAGGCAUCAGCCAAUCACGCUCCGGAUUUUUGGGUUAUUUAAUGGUUUAUUAGAUGGGACUUCUCAUUUCUUAAGUGAAAGAUAACGAUGAGGAUGUAAGAGAACAUCGAUGCACUUGGGGUGCUGAUCAUCGUAACUCUGGUGACUGAAAUCGAAGUAAAACAUUGACAUAAGGUUAGAUUAAGCAGAUAACCACUGACCACCACUGAAGAUUCCAAAGUAAAAGCGCAUACCAAACAACACCAGAUUACAGCAUGAUUUCUGAAAAGUUUUUGAAACUGACUGAAAUUAGUACAUCAAAACAGGUAAUUUCAUUUUUAUUAUUUAAAAAAAAAUCGAAAGAAAGAAAUACAAAUUUUAAUAAAGUUUGUUG